rnacentral:rRNA from 1 species
CCUACGGGCGGCAGCAGUGGGGAAUAUUGGACAAUGGGCGCAAGCCUGAUCCAGCCAUGCCGCGUGAGUGAUGAAGGCCUUAGGGUUGUAAAGCUCUUUUGGCGGGGACGAUAAUGACGGUACCCGCAGAAUAAGUCCCGGCUAACUUCGUGCCAGCAGCCGCGGUAAUACGAAGGGGACUAGCGUUGUUCGGAAUCACUGGGCGUAAAGCGCACGUAGGCGGAUAUGUCAGUCAGGGGUGAAAUCCCGGGGCUCAACCUCGGAACUGCCCUUGAUACAGCAUGUCUUGAGUCCGAUAGAGGUGGGUGGAAUUCCUAGUGUAGAGGUGAAAUUCGUAGAUAUUAGGAAGAACACCGGUGGCGAAGGCGGCCCACUGGAUCGGUACUGACGCUGAGGUGCGAAAGCGUGGGGAGCAAACAGGAUUAGAUACCCCUGUAGUCC